rnacentral:rRNA from 1 species
ACGGGUGCUUGCACCUGGUGGCGAGUGGCGAACGGGUGAGUAAUACCUAGGAACAUGUCCAGUAAUGGGGGAUAACGCAGCGAAAGCUGUGCUAAUACCGCAUACGCCCUACGGGGGAAAGCGGGGGAUUCGUAAGAACCUCGCGUUAUUGGAGUGGCCUAGGCCUGAUUAGCUAGUUGGUGAGGUAAAGGCUCACCAAGGCGACGAUCAGUAGCUGGUCCGAGAGGAUGAUCAGCCACACUGGAACUGAGACACGGUCCAGACUCCUACGGGAGGCAGCAGUGGGGAAUUUUGGACAAUGGGGGAAACCCUGAUCCAGCCAUUCCGCGUGAGUGAAGAAGGCCUUCGGGUUGUAAAGCUCUUUCAGGAGGGAAGAAACGGUUACGGAUAAUACCUGUGACUAAUGACGGUACCUUCAGAAGAAGCACCGGCUAACUACGUGCCAGCAGCCGCGGUAAUACGUAGGGUGCGAGCGUUAAUCGGAAUUACUGGGCGUAAAGCGUGCGCAGGCGGUUUUGUAAGUCAGAUGUGAAAGCCCCGGGCUCAACCUGGGAACUGCGUUUGAAACUACAAGGCUAGAGUGUAGCAGAGGGGGGUAGAAUUCCACGUGUAGCAGUGAAAUGCGUAGAGAUGUGGAGGAAUACCGAUGG